GGACCCGCACAAGUAGUGGAGCAUGUGGUUUAAUUCGAAGAUACGCGCAGAACCUUACCAACACUUGACAUGUUCGUCGCGACUUUAAGGAUGAAUAAGUUUUCGGUUCGGCCGGACGAAACACAGGUGCUGCAUGGCUGUCGUCAGCUCGUGUCGUGAGAUGUUGGUUAAGUCCCGCAACGAGCGCAACCCUCACUUUUAGUUGCCAUCAUUAAGUUGGGCACUCUGAAAGAACUGCCAGUGAUAAGCUGGAGGAAGGUGGGGAUGACGUCAAGUCCUCAUGGCCCUUACGUGUUGGGCUACACACGUGCUACAAUGGGCGUAACAAAGGGUUUGCAAUCCCGCGAGGGGGAG
rnacentral:rRNA from 1 species